CCAGGAUUGAGCUCGGGGGCACUCCACCCCUGGGCCACAUCCCCAGCUCUGUUUUGUAUUUUAUGUAGAGACAGGAUCUCACUGAGUUGCUUAGCACCUUGUCUUGCUGAGGCAGGCUUUGAACUCUUGAUCCUCCUGUUUGAACCUCCUGGGCCCCUGGGAUCACAGGCAUGUGUCACUGCCCUUGGCUUGAGAGGAGGUUUAAUGUUGUAUAAAGUAUGUAACAGAAUCACUCGUUUUGCAUAAAUUUAUUUAUUGGCUACUAUAUUGCUUUCCUUGCAGGCCCAACAGUCACUGGAUCUUAUCCAGUCCAAAAUAGUAAAAGCUGCUGGAGACACUAUUGUUAUAGAGAAUAGUGAAGUUUCCUCAGAAACGGUACAUAUUUUCUUUAACCCAAAAUCUCUGUGCUAAUAUCUUGUAAACUAUGUGGAGAUUAAAUAUUUGCAAGAUCUGUCUCUGACCAGAAAACUGUUUCCAUCAGAUAUUUUGUGUUCUUCUUCGUGUUGUUAUUUUGAUUACAGAACUGAGGAUUGAACCCCAGGUUUUGUGCAUGCUAGGCAAGUGCUCUACUACUAUUUUGCUUUUAGUUAAAAGUCUUUUCUUCAAAAUAUCACCUCUCAAAUGCACUGUUUUGAUUGAUGUUUGUUUUUACUGUUGCCUAGUGACAUAUUAUGUUAAUUUUCAAGGUUUGUGUGGAGAAAAAGAAUGGUAUAAUGCUUAAGGGUAAAGCCUCUGGAGUUCGACUGCUUGUGAAUCCUGGCCUUAUGACUUCAUACCUUCAUGUGUAAUUUUGGGCAUAUUAUUUCAUUAGUCUGUGCUUUAGUUGCCCAUCUAAAAAAGGCAAUGUAAAUAAUACCUGUAAUAAUAACUCUAUCUUGUAAGGUUGUUGAAGGAAUAAAUGGGUUAAUACUUAAUAUAUCUAAGAUAGUGAGUAGCAAUGCCUGGCAUCCAAUAAGAAUUCAAUAUAUGUUAACUGUGACUUGUGAGACUCUGCUCUUUUUUUUUUUUCCUGAAAGAAAAAAUGGAUUUAUUUCUGAUAUUCAUAGAUUACAGAUUUCUUUGUAGGUGGCUAAGUGAGAACAUUUUUUGCAGCAUAGGUUUUUUUUUUGUUGUUGUUGUUUUUUUUUUUGGUGCCAAAUAGUUGGCACUAAUAGUUAGUAGUCAACAUUUCUCUGUGUUUUUUGCUGUUGCUGAUUUUCAUGUAUGUUUUCAGAUUUUCAUGUUUGUAUUUGAAACAAUAAUAAAAUAUUUUCUGGUUUUGGUUGUACAUUCCUUUUCCUAGUGUUGAAGUUCAUCACUUAUAUCUUCUUUUCAGGAGUCUUCUGAAAAGGAGAAAAUGUUUAUAAGUCUAAAUCAGACUCUCACACAGUUACAGCAGUUGCUACAGUCAGCAAACCAACAGCUCACAAAGGAGAAAUAACACUACCAGGCCUUGGGUAAGGAGAAUUGAAGUUCCGCUGUCUGUUUAAGGAUAACAGACAUAGUGAAGGGAGGGUGAUGUGUAUUUACCACAAAUAAAAGAAACUCAUCAUUUCACUGAAGGGAAUAUUCAUUCUUUAUCUGUCUUGGAAGUUUCAGAUUACAGCCUGUUUUUUUUUUUUUUUUUCCUUGGAGUUUUUCUCCAAGAAAAAGGCCUACUUUGACCUUUUUUUCAAACUCUGUUUUGUCACUUGGCUAUCAGGGUAUGGGCAUUGCCAUAAUGCUUAUAACUGCUUCAUUAGUUUCUUAUGAUCUUAGUUCAAAUGAACUAUUUGGGUGAUAUUCUCUUAUUUCCCCUCUGUUUAUGACUUGGUAAAAUGAAGUGACCAUAACAUUUUUAUUGAUGUAAGAUUGCUGAUCUGAGAAUCAAGUCAUCACAAUUAAUUAAUUUUUACAUGAAUAAAGAACACAAAAUUUAUUAUGCCUAAGGCAUGUAUUAGACUUCCCUUCUUUUUUGUAGUUGGGCAUAAUACCUUUAUUUUAUUUAUUUAUUUUUAUGUGGUACUGAGGAUCAGACCCAGGGCCUCGUACAUGCUAGGCGAGCGCUCUACCACUGAGUCAUAACCCCAGCCCUAUUUCCAUUCUUUUUUUUUUUUUUAUUAGUUAUUGGUGGAUCUUUAUUCAUUUAUUUGUUUAUAUGCAGUGCUGAGAAUCGAACCCAGUGCCUCACACAUGCCAGGCAAGCGCACUACCAUUGAGCCACCACCCCAGCCCCUAGACUUCCAUUCUUUAGGUUGGAAGCUGUUUUACUGAAGUUGGUCUUGGGGGUGAUCUAAGAAAUCUAUUUUUUAACACCUGAAGUGAGAAUUUUAAUUGAGGAUGAAUAAAUCCAAAUGAGCUUUUAUUGUCUAUAUUACCUUAAAAAGCUCCAGUUGAUUAGCACUUAAAAAUGACUUGUGUUCUAGCUGGUGAAUAUACAGGUUUUGUUCUUCUUGUUAUUUGGGUUUUAUGGCUUUAUAAAUGAUUCAGGUCACACUGCCUAGGGUAGAGUAUUCACACAUGAACUAAAUAUCCUUCUUUUGAGGCGGCCAUACUGUCUCACUUUUAAAGACUUCUCAUCCUAUGGCCAAACUGAGCAUAUGCUGUCUUUAAAAUGCUGAUUCAAGUCCGUUAACUCUCAGAAGACUUUCCUCAUUCUUUAACCUAUUAGCAAAAGUAAUGACUCUACCUUUCCAUCUUUCAUCCUUGUAAAAUGACCUCUUCAGUUUCUUGAAGUCACCCUUCUGCUGCAUUCUCCUGUUUUCAAAUUGUGAAACAACCUGGCUUCAUGGGGAAACUCUUCUGUCUCACCUUCCCAUGACUGCUACCUUACUCUCUCUUUAUGGUCCCUUUGUUCAGUAUUGAAAACAUGCUCAGCGUUUUAUUUUAAUCAUAUUUUUCCUUCUAGUCAGCACCCUAAUUUUUCACUUCACCUUUAACAAGGGAUUCUUAAAAUAAGAAACUCUCCUCGCAGUGUAGGUGCAACUUCUUUCCUUGCUGUUAGUUCUUAUAUCUGUUCUAGAAUGGCUUCUCCUACUCCAGUCCAAAGAAACCACUUUUGCUAGCAUUGUUAGUAAUAUCCUAAACCUGGAUCUAAUAUUAAUAUAGAGCCCUUCUUUGCAUUUAAUAAUACCAAAAGUUUAUUAAAUAUGCUCAAUGUUCUAAAGUUAGCCAACAGGCCUUUGUGUUGUAAGGGAAGGGUUUUAUUUGAGGAGCGCUUUUAUAAGAUUGUCUUUUAUCCCAUGCCUUUAGACCUUAUCAUUAUUUAUUUGAGGGCGGGGAUAGUUGUAAAUUUCAAUCUCUCCUUUCUGUGCUACUUACUUGCCUUAGGUUUAUGUUCUCUUGAAUAGGGCUAAUAAAAAUGGUUCCCAAUGUUGUUCUCUUAAAUAUUUUCUAAUAGGAUUUGGCUUACAUUAUUAAUUUUUUUUACCUGAAAACUUCUGAAUCCUGACAGUUGUCUUUUUUGGAGGGAUGGGUACUGGGGAUUGAAUUCAAGGGCACUUGAUCACUGAGCCACAUCCCCAGCCCUAUUUUGUAUUUUAUUUAGAGACAGGGUCUCACUGAGUUGCUUAGCGCCUCAUUUUUUCGGAGGCUGGCUUUGAACUUUCAAUCCUCCUACCUCAACCUCCUGAGCUGCUGGGAUUACACGUGUGUGUCACUGGCUUGUCUUUUAUUUUGAUUACCAUUAGUGUGCAUUUCUUUGAGCCUACUUGAAAGGACUGAGCUAGAUCAAAUGGAAUUCGUAUACAAUGAAUGUAUUCAGAUUGCCUUUCGUUGCUUUGUUUUAAAAUGAAUUUCUUUUUGAUCUUUUACAGAGUGAAGUGACUGGGAAACCAUUCGUUUGAGGAUAACAGAAGGCAUUGUAUUAUAUUUUGCCAAAUUAAAGCCUUAUUUAUGUUUUCACCCUUUCUACUUUGUCAGAAACACUGAACAGAGUUUUGUCUUUUCUAAUCCUUGUUAGACUACUGAUUUAAAGAAAAACAUUUUAAAAAAGCCAACUCUGUAGACACCUUCAGAGUUUAGUUUUAUAAUAAAAACUGUUUGAAUAAUUAGACCUUUACAUUCCUGAAGAUGAAAUAAACAUGUAAUCUUUUACCUUAUUUUGCUCAAUUAAAUUGUUCAGAAGAUCAAAGUGGUAAAGACAAUGUAAAAUUUAACAUUUUAAUACUGAUAUUGUACACUGUUUUACUUAACAUUUUGGGGAGUAACUGCCUCUGACAUCAACUCAAGAAAACACUUUUUUGUUGCUAAUGUAAUCAGUUUUUGUAAUGGCAGUCAGCAAAUAAAGGGUUGCUUAUUAUUCAAACUUGACUUAUUCUAAUUUUCAUUG
rnacentral:lncRNA from 1 species